rnacentral:rRNA from 1 species
GAAUCUUCCCUAUGGCCUGGAAUAACACGAGGAAACUUGUGCUAAUACUGGAUAAGUCUUUACGGAGAAAGCUUUAUGCACCAUUGGAUGAGCCUGCACUUGAUUAGUUUGUUGGUAGGGUAAUGGCCUACCAAGACUGUGAUCAAUAGCUGAUUUGAGAGGAUGAUCAGCCACAUUGGGACUGAGACACGGCCCAAACUCCUACGGGAGGCAGCAGUGGGGAAUCUUGCACAAUGGAGGAAACUCUGAUGCAGCGAUGCCGCGUGAGUGAAGAAGGCCUUUGGGUUGUAAAGCUCUUUCGUCGGGGAAGAAAAUGACUGUACCCGA